UUAAAAUUUUGUUUUUUAAUUCUGGUAUUCGCUAGUGCACGCAAAGGAACUUAGCGUGCAGCCAGAAAUUACAAUUAAUAUCAUAAAUAUAUGACUUUUAAUUUUCUUUUUAGUUAAAUUAGAUGUGGCUUUAACACCAAAGCUUAAAUUCAUGGUAUUUUCUUACAGAAUGCUUAUAAAUACAACGAAAAACUGAAACCGGUAAGCUUCGAUUUACAUUUGCGUGUUAACGGCUAUCCCUAGUAGUAGUAUAAACAAACUUCGUUGUCACUUCACUUCGCUCGAGGCAGGGUAAUUAAGAUUAGUGUUUACAGAAUGCCAAUUCAAGGUCAUUCUAUUGCGAAUGCGAAGUGAUGGAGAAUUUCGUAGUGAGAUGCGAGUUCUUGUUUGACUUUUAGAGAAUCGCAAGGCUGUAGUCGAAUUGAGAAUAGACCAUUAACGACACUAUAACGACACACUCUCGGAGUUCUAACCUAGGGGCGUUGCUAACACUAGCCCUAGCAAGAGCAGCGCUUCGCCGAAUCUACCACCGGAUCGGAAACGCGACCCACUGAGAAGAUCCGGCGAGACUCGGUGGGCUGCGUCUAUGGGUUACUUUACUCACCGAACCCUUCGUAGUAAGCGACGGGUUUGACGAGAAACAGUCCUGCAAUGUCAGUUUAAGACUAUUAAUAGUAAAGCUGUAUGUGGAAUGAAGACAAAAUUACAGUAUAGAUUUACUUUCGUCUAAGGUUAAGACCUUAUUUAUCUAUAAAUACGGUGACCAUUUGUACCGUUUAUGGCAUACAGUACGUAAACCAUAAAUGCCUUUUUUUUUUUUAUUGCUGUAUAUAGUUUGGUGGACGAGCUCACAGCCCACCUAGUGUUAAAUGGUUACUGGAGCCCAUAGACAUCCGCAACGUAAAUGCGCCACCCACCUUGAGAUAUAAGUUCUAAGGUCUCAAGUAUAGUUACAACGGCUGCCCCACCCUUCAAACCGAAACGCAUUACUGCUUCACGGCAGAAAUAGUACCGACCCGCGCGGACUCACAAGAGGUCCUACCACCAGUAAUUACGCAAAUUAUAAUUUUGCGGGUUUAAUUUUUAUUACACGAUGUUAUUCCUUCACCGUGGAAGUCAAUCGUGAACAUUUGUUUUUCAUUAGAAAAAUUGGUACCCGCCUGAGAUUCGAACACCGGUGCAUCGCUCAACACGAAUGCACCGGACGUCUUAUCCGUUAGGCCACGACGACUUCUAUUUGUACUGUUUUUCAUUGAAUUUUAAAUUAUACUAAAGUUUAAUAUUUGUAUGAAAAAAAAUUGUUUAAAUGUGUAAUAAUGGCACUCGCAAAUAAUCGUUUAGAAAAAAUAUUUUGUGUACAUUAACUUUGGACGAACCUUAAGCAUAAAACACAUAAAGUUUUACCGAUAAAGUAGACUAGUCAUCUUAGAAACAUCAUAGUGACAUCUAUCGCUAAACGUCAUAUAAAAAAGUAACCUAUACUAUAAUGCUCCUUCUCCUGUUUUUUCAUACAAAAAUAAUGGUCACUAUACCCAUAGAUUAUACACUUAAUAUAUGACUAUACCCAUCCAAGGGUAUUUCUUUCUUCGACCCCGUUUGAAGAAAAACAUGGAAUGCAUAUUCUAUUUCAGGUCAAGAAUCGUUUGAAAUGUAAAAAUAUAAUAUUAAAACUUUAUUACUAUUAUUCAACAAAUAAAAGUUUAUGGAUAUAAUUUCUAUAUUGUUUAUUAUUUUCUUUUAAAACAGCAUAAACAUGAAUGAUAUGUAGGUAAUGAUUUCAAAGCCUCUUUGAGUCUGUAAGUACUCGUUUGUAUGAAAAAUUAUCGUGUAAAAUUAAAUAAGAUGAAAUAGAUACAAAGAAAGAAAAAGAAAGAACAUAAAAAGAAAUUAACAAAUUAAUUAUUAACGAUUAAGUUUCAAAAAGAAAUUGACAAGAUUAUUCCUAUCUAAGAAAACUAGCUUGACUGAAAUAAUAAACAGCAUUAUCCAUUUAUAUACAUUUUUAAUUAAACUGUAAUUCUUAAUAUCGCAUAAGUUUCGGUACUCUUAAAAUAAAUACAUCAUAGAUUUAAUUUCAAUAUUUUACUAAAUUAAUAUUGGACUUAAUAAUGUCCAUCAAUGGAAUUGCUACGUUCUCUCGAUAUCAGAUUAUAGUUAAUUAUAUGAAAAUAUAAAUAAAUACUUCUAUAAUGUCCCUGUAAACUAAAUGUAACCAAAUAAUGUAAAUAAAUAACCUUAGUAUUGAAAUGAAUUUUGUUCCGUCUGUCGCGUCCCUCACAUUAUAGUCUUAUAAACUGAAAUGCAUAAUGGUAAUAUUUUUUAUAUGAAAACCAGUAGCGUAUUUUAACUUAAAUUUAAAAUAUUUGGUUCUACAUCGCGUUAAAUUUUGAGGAAACUAAUCACAUAUUCAGUAUAUAUCUAUCUGUAUGGAGGUGGUGGUUGGUUGAUGAUAACGGCUGGUUGAUUCGGUGAAGGGUGGUGAUGGUGUAUCACGGUGGUCCGCUGCGGAGGAUCACCGCAACAAUCGCAGCAAAGGCACGGAAUGCAGCAACAGCAACAGGGUCGACACGAGAUAUUGCAACCCAUUCU